AAAGGAAAAUGAGGGGUCACAAAACAACUACAUUUUGACUAGUAAUUGCUGCUACUUUUGAUGAUGGAUAAUAUAAGGGGGUAUAUCAUGUGUGUCUGUGUUUGCCCUUCUUUCAAGGGAAAAUGGUUUGCAUCUUGACUUGUGAAAAUGGUUUCUUUAAUAUGGAUCCUUUUUAUCUUUUUUUCUCCAUUCAACCUAAAGUUUUUUAUAUUCUACAUGUGAUCUCCAUCCCCUUAAUUCCAAUUCUUCUUGCAUUGAGAGAAUCUCUCACUUUCUCUCUCCAUGCCUUUCUUUUCUUUAUUUGGGAAUCUCAUUUAUCACCUCCACAAUACAAGCAUAUAAAACUAAUCUUUGAACAUGUCAAGCCUCUAUCUCUCACUUUCUCUCUGUCAGUCAGUUUUUGUGUGUGUGUGAGGGAGAGAGAAGAAAAAACAAAGGUUGAUAAUUAAUGAGGGAGGAUCUUCUGCAUGACAAAGUGGAACUGAAAGAACACUUUCUUUUUCUUUUGCUUUUGUAUUGGGUUUUCUAACUUUUUCUCUUACACAUUUUUCUUAUUUUGAUCUUUUUGAUACAAACUUUAACUUUCAAUAAAAUCUUUUCAUUACAUGAUGAAGAAUUGGAUUACUUACUAACUGGUACAUGUUUGUUAUGACUCAUAAAGUAAAAGGGUAUGUAUCAAACUUGAGGACAUGGUGUUUGCUGAAAUGCCUGUGUGAGUUGAGCUAUCACUAUAUCUUGUAUUGGAAACAUACCUUACUUGUGCCCAGGAUUCUUGAAAGACGGUAGCUUUAUUAUCUAUCUAUGGCCACCAAAAAAUUUUGACCGUUAGGUUGGAAAGAGUGAAUUUCAGAGAAAUUGCAUUGUGUGGACCCCUUUUAGCCAAAGUUGGAGUACGUAUUCUUUUCCUAUCUUUACUUACAAUAUAGUACACAGUUUUUUAAUAAUCCUUUCAUUUAGACACUGCAUGCCUGUUUCUAAUUUCUGUCGAGUUCUGAAUAGUAGCAGUAAUUUGAUAAAAAACAAAAACUUAACCCCUCAGUCCCAAUAGAAGUAUAUUUAUUAUAUUAAUUGUAAAAAUAUCAAACAUGUGAGAUUUUAUUCAUAUUUAAGUAUAUGAUAUCCUCCACUUCUAUCUCUAGCACUUCCCUUUUCAGAGCAGCAUGUAACUUCACUAUCAGAAUUCAAUUCCCGUGAAAUGAAAAACUACCAAAAUUGAAUAAUGGGGAUGUGUCAAUGAAAGUGAAAGUGAGAGAUUUUGGGAAAUGAGACUUAGACAUGGUCAAUGUGAAUACAUUCAUACAUGUAUAUAAAUAUAGUUGGCCAAAUCUCUUCCCUGAUGAAACUGUACAAUACAUUUCCCAACACAUGAUCUAAUUUUCUUGUUGUAUUUAUUUAUUUAUUUUUUGUCAGGCUUCAUAAUUCCAUGUGCAUUAAUGUGAUUCUCCUUGACACAAUAGGACAGGUCAUUUCACAUUUAUAUUUAAGCUCUCACACAUUGUAUUCAAGAAAAUGUGCUUAUUCUAGAGGAACCACAUUUGGUGCUGAGUGUUAUGAAUUUGCAGUUGCAAUUAGGGGAAAGAGGGGGUUGUCAAUGUUAUUUCUUGACCCAUCUUUAAGAGUGAGGAUUCCCUACAUUUAUUGUCUUAAAUUGCUUUUAGGUUUUCAGUGGGAAAACUCACCCUUUAAUAACACUGAUCAUUGCAUAACUCAAAAAUGAUUUGGAUGGGUGAAGAGGAUCAAUGGUGCAACCAUGUGAGAAGAAAUAAAAGUUUCAACCAACAUAUUGGUGUUAGCAUGGUAGGUAAGACUUGAUCAGACAUUUGAUAUAGAAAGUUGAAUUUAGAUUCGCCAGCCAAGUUCUUGUGCAAAUUGAUUAAAUACCUACAAUAACUAGAAUUCAUAUUUAGGUGGGGUUGUUAAUGUUUUUAUUAAUAUUAUUUAUUGAUUCAAAAACUGCUGUUUUAUUUUCACAAUAUAUAAAUAGAAAGCCAUAUUAAAAUUUGCAGAAAAAUGUCAAAAUUAACAUUUAAUUUUAAUUUAAAUACUUUUGUAAUUCCAUCUUCAAAAAGUCUUAACGUGAAAAAAUAAACCAUAUCCAUAUAUUCGGCUUAAGCAAAUCCUUUACUGGUGUAGAUACAG
rnacentral:lncRNA from 1 species